AGAGUUUGAUCCUGGCUCAGGAUGAACGCUAGCGGCAGGCUUAAUACAUGCAAGUCGAGGGCAGCGGGUGUAGCAAUACAUGCCGGCGACCGGCGCACGGGUGCGUAACGCGUAUGUAACCUACCUUUUAACUGGAGGAUAGCCCCGAGAAAUCGGGAUUAAUACUCCAUAAAAUUAUGAGAAGGCAUCUUUUUAUAAUUAAAGCUCCGGCGGUUUUAGAUGGGCAUGCGUGACAUUAGCUAGUUGGUGAGGUAACGGCUCACCAAGGCUCCGAUGUCUAGGGGUUCUGAGAGGAUUAACCCCCACACUGGUACUGAGACACGGACCAGACUCCUACGGGAGGCAGCAGUAAGGAAUAUUGGGCAAUGGACGCAAGUCUGACCCAGCCAUGCCGCGUGAAGGAUGACGGCCCUAUGGGUUGUAAACUUCUUUUGUACGGGAAAAAACCUUCGAACGUGUUCGAAGCUGAUGGUACCGUAAGAAUAAGCAUCGGCUAACUCCGUG
rnacentral:rRNA from 1 species